UCAUAAACAAAAUAAUUUAUACGGUAUAAAAGAACGAUUUUGAAGCAGUGAAACAGUAUUCACAAGAAAUCCUUCGAAUAACUUCAAAGAAAGAAUUCUUAGAGAUGAUGAGAUUCCAGACCAUUUUCUUAUCGAUGGCAGUGACCACAAUGAUAGUAGCCGCCUACUCACCAACAGAAAAGCAUGCAUUAGACAUUCAUGGAGUGAAGAAGAUUUUACAGGUCGAAAACACAUCUGGAAGAGCUAUAAACGGGCGUCGUGGUAGCGGAUCUCUUUCAGUACUAGAUGUUAUUGAUGCAAAUAGACGAGCAGGAUCAGGAGCAGUUGGAACAUCUCGUGGAAUAGGAAACGAAUUUAUAACACGUGGGUUAUCCGACAGUAGAAGA